UACAGAGGUCCCAAGCGUUGUUCGGAUUCAUUGGGCGUAAAGGGUGCGUAGGUGGCGCCGUAAGUCAGGUGUGAAAUCUCGGGGCUUAACUCCGAAACUGCAUUUGAUCCUGCGGUGCUUGAGGACUGGAGAGGAGACUGGAAUUUACGGUGUAGCAGUGAAAUGCGUAGAGAUCGUAAGGAAGACCAGUGGCGAAGGCGGGUCUCUGGACAGUUCCUGACACUGAGGCACGAAGGCCAGGGGAGCAAACGGG
rnacentral:rRNA from 1 species